CAUCAAUUUUAGACGUUUUCUUCACCCCAAAAAAGAAACCUCGGGAGGAUUCUUGGAAGACAGUGGAGUACAAAACAGCGGCAAUCUGUCUGUCUCCCAUCUGGACAACAUUGUACAGGCAGGCUCUGUCUGACACAGCUAUUUUGGAACUCUGGAGUCUAUUGAAGUCUCAUCCAGGGGAAAGCUUGGAUGGUAAACUGUAGUUAAUUUUAGCUAAAAGCGUGACUUUCUUAUUACUCUAUUUGGAGAUUAAAUAUAGUUUAAAGAGAUGCAUAAGCGUAAAUUGACAUAGACUGUGGCAGCUUUGUAAUGAUUUGACUCACUUAGAUUAGAACUACACUUCCCAGAAUUCCUUUUUCAGCCACAGGAGAGAUUCUUAUGGGAGAUUUAAGGAUGGGGUGGGGAGAGGGGACGUAGCCGCCAUUUAGCAGCUCCUAAUGCUAUCUCUUUUCUGCUGGCUCACUUCGUUAGUCCUGCCACUGCUCCACCUUCCUCUGAAUCCUCCUUCCUCCUGGGCCAGGUUUGAGCGUCAUUCAAAGACAACAUCCUGAUGGAGACUGUUUCAUCUCCCCAGAGUACAUAAGAUCAAAUCCAGAUACAAGUUCCUUCAUAGAUAUUCACCUAUCACCUGCUUCUCUGCUGAUAGGAGCUGAUCCUGAAAUUGCCAAGGGCCACUGUUUAUCCCAGCUGGGAGGAAUCAGCUUGAGAAGGAGGUCAACACAGAGUCACAUUGAGCAGGAAAAAGGAAGAGAGACACACUUCUAGUGUGGUCCUCCGAGCACCUGGAUCCAACUACAUCUGAAGUCAAACACAUCUGGACUUUUAGUGUACCAUGUCAAAUCUCCCACCAUGGGCAAUUUCAAGCCACCAAUGUGAUUUCAACCAAAAUUCCUGAAAAAUUCACCGAUCAGUUCUUGCCAGCUGCUAGGAGAGAGCUCCAGCACACCACUGUAGCCGACACCCCAGAUCCCAGCACAGAUUUGUUGAAUGAGUGAAAGAAUUAAUGAAAUUAGUCCCACAGAAUUAGUUUUCCCUCUCUGUGCCUAUCCAUGGCACACUCUCCAUCUGUCAGAUUUUUUUUUUUUAAAAAGCAGACCCAGAGGGAUGGAAUGGGGAGGGAGGAGGGAGGAGGG